rnacentral:rRNA from 1 species
UAAUACGUAGGAUGCAAGCGUUGUCCGGAUUUACUGGGCGUAAAGCGCGCGCAGGCGGCACACCAAGUACCCUAUGAAAUCUCCUUGCUCAACGGGGAGGGUGUGGGGUAGACUGGUGAGCUAGAGGACGGUAGAGGGGGGUAGAAUUGCUGGUGUAGCGGUGAAAUGCGUAGAGAUCAGCAGGAAUACCCGUGGCGAAGGCGGCCCCCUGGGCCGUACCUGACGCUGAGGCGCGAAGGCUAGGGGAGCGAACGGGAUUAGAUACCCCGGUAGUCCUAGCAGUAAACGAUGGCCACUAGGUGUGGGGGGUGUUGACCCCUCCUGUGCCGAAGCUAACGCAUUAAGUGGCCCGCCUGGGGAGUACGGUCGCAAGACUA